rnacentral:lncRNA from 1 species
ACUAGUAAUCAUCACACUGCCACUGUCGACAGCAAGGUAACUAGAUAUAUUCACAAUUCAACCAAAAUUACCCCCACAAGGUAAGCAAUGGUGAACACACAAAAUUGAUGGCUAAACCACAGGGCAGCACUAUGCUCCACACUAGCAAUUAUCGCACUGCCACUGUCCACAACAAGGAAGCUAGAUAUACUCACAUAUUGAACCAAAAUUACCACCAGAGGAAGACAAAGCAAUGGUGAAUGGUGAACACACACAAAACUGAUGGCCAAACCACAAGGCAGCACUAUGCUCCACACUAGCAAUCAUCGCAUUGCCACUGUCUACAGCAAGGUGACAAGGUAUAUUCACAGUUUCAGACACAUCUAGGUAUGAAAUAACACAUAUCUAGAACAAACCAACCACUCAAUCGCUUGGAAUGAAGUGACUUCUACUUGCAAGUGACAAAGAUCACACACCUCAACAAUAAACACAUGACAAACAGCAAUAGCAAAAUAUCUAUUGGCCAGUAACACCUGCAAUAAAGGGUUAACCUAAAGAACACAGGUAUAAACAAGAUACAUGUUCUAUGAUCUUGCCACCAUCAGAACAACAAAGCAUAGACAUGAAAUAGAUUAACGUCAUCAGAAUGACCAAAAUUUAAGCUCGCAUCCCAUCUCAGCAAUAGACGAUCAAAUAUCCAGGAAACAUAACAUAAUACUCCAAGAUUUCAGUUUUCAAAGACAAACGGGACACAUAUAAAUGAGUUCGAUUUUAGCAGAGCAAACGCAAGCCACCUCUAAGCCUUCUGGUUGUAGACGUAGGUGAGGCCGCACUUGCCGCAGUAGUGGCGGUCGAAGUGGUUGGCCAUGAAGGUCCCGGCGCCGCACUCGGCGUUGGGGCACUCCUUCCUGAGCCUGGUGACCUUGCCGGUGGCGUCGUCGACCUUGUAGAACUGGAGGACGGCGAGCUUCACCUUCUUGUGCUUGUGCUUUUGCUUCUUGGGCUUGGUGUAGGUCUUCUUCUUGCGCUUCUUGGCGCCACCGCGGAGGCGGAGCACCAGGUGGAGCGUGGACUCCUUCUGGAUGUUGUAGUCGGCGAGGGUGCGGCCGUCCUCGAGCUGCUUGCCGGCGAAGAUGAGGCGCUGCUGGUCCGGCGGGAUCCCCUCCUUGUCCUGGAUCUUGGCCUUGACGUUGUCGAUGGUGUCCGACGACUCCACCUCCAGCGUGAUGGUCUUGCCCGUCAGGGUCUUCACGAAGAUCUGCAUCUUGGCGGCGGCGGGGUGGUCGCCUCCGCGCGCUGCGGCGGCGACGGUGGCGGCGGCGGCGGCGCGGUGGGGUUUGGUUGGGCGGCGCGGUGGGAAUGGAGGCUAGGGAGAAGGAAGAGUCAGGCUUUCUAUAAGUACAGUCGGCAGGAGAAUAUGAGCCGUUGGAUCUAGGGGUUCAAGAUCAUACGGCUGUCUUUUGUGGACGGUAUUUUGGGCUGGGCUGGAUCGGAUUGAUUUGCUUGUGGCCCAUGCCACGUGAGGAGGGUUCGUUCCACAGUCAAUAUGAACAUGUAAAUUUUCUUUGUCUCAAUUUUUUUUGUAAAUUCCAUUCUUUGAGAAACAAAAUACCGUCCACAAGCAAAAUCAAUCCAUUCUUUGUCUCAAAAAAAUUGAAAAUUCCUUAAAAGAAUAUAUAUCCCAUUCACUUGCCCAAAAAAGUGUAAAUUCCAUUUACCCCUAGAAAUUAUUUUUUUUAAAUAUAUAAACACAAAAGAAUUUACAGAUUCGACAUUGGUUACUUGCAAGCCUCGAACUUGCAUUUGAGAUGUACACGCUCUUGAAUUCCUAUGAAAACCAAGCAAGGACGCUCCAAAUUAGAGAAGGGACUGCGGAAUGUAUUCGGCUUCGAUUCCAUACCACAACCAUCCAUCCAAAUAACGACAUUCAGGCUGUCCCAAUGCCAAUAUCCAAUUGUAAACCCCAAUAUCAGCACUCAAACGGUGCCCAGAGUGAUAUUUAGUUUUCAUCCAAUUUUAGUGGUGUUUGCACCAUGAAAUUUGAUUCCACCGUGUGGCAACCAUCACUCAUGGUUUGUUACUUAGCAACAACAUUCUGGGCAAAUAUGGGUUUAGAGCCACACCAAGAGGGUAUAGUUGUUCAAGAGUGUAAACUCGUAACAUAACCAUGUCUGUCUUGAGACAAUCAAUUCUAAAUAUGCAGUCCUGAGACAAUCAAUUCUAAAUAUGCAGUCCUGAGACAAUCAAUUCCAAAUAUGCAUGAAGGAUGAUGUACCCAGUGAUGCCAUGCUUUCGCAUAAUGUACCAGGGCAACAUAGUGUACGACUGAGUGGAAAUACCCAACACAAUAAACAAGUAAAGAUUCCAGCACAACUAACAGCAGUCAAAGAGUUAUCUCACAACAAUGGCAGCAGCAAUCAGCAAAUUCCAGCUGCAUGAUCACUGGCAAGGCAUGGCGAAUACAAACCACAACAAUAACUCGAAAACGGUCACCAAAUUCAAAUAGCAUUGAACCAUUCCAGAAACCGACUUAACACUAAGCAAGUUUCUAAACUUGUCCGCUUACUACCACACUUGCAAUUAUAGAUAUUCAGCAUAUGCAAACUAAUGCCACAUCCAGAAAAAUAUUCAGGACAAACAACACAUCAGAUCUAAGGUUGCAAACACAUGCACAGAUAUGGUAUGACCACACAAUUUCCUAAAUCAAAGCAGAAUUACCAAUGACAUGCACCCAGGGCAGGCAACGAUUAAUGAUGGAACACAAAAUAGAUGGAUAAACCACGGGGCAGGACUUUGCUACAUUUCUUCAGAGAUGAAUUUGGGUAAUGCGGAUGCGAAAAAUAAAAAUGCAGAUCAUGGCUACAGAAAUGUACAUAUUUGGAUAACCACAUCAAAUGGGUAUUUGUCCAGGCAUAAAGAAUAAACUGAAACGUCUGUCAAUGAGAAUUCCAAUAGCUGAACUGCCUUGUUGCAACAGCCAUGAAAAAUAAACAACCAAAUUGCUUUUGCACUUUUUGAUUAUUCUCGUAAGAUUGGUGACAAGAUGUGCUUUCGGUCCAAUGCAUCAAAAGCCACCUUCUGUACUAGUUAUAAAAUAAAGAUCUUCAGCGCAUGUAAAAUGACUUAUCACAACCCAAGAACAAACCAAAAUGAGAAGAGCAAAAAUCAACUACAACUACAAACCGACAGACAUAUGGUAUGAUAGACCCAAUCAAAAGUACCAACACUGGCAGGCAAGGGAAUGGUGAAAAGUUACCACACACAAAACUGAUGGCUAAACAACAAGGCAGUAUGAUAGACUCAAUCAAAAUUACCACCACAGGUAGGCAAGGCAAUGGUGAAUGGUUACCACACACAAAACUGUUGGUUAAACAACAAGGCAGCACUAUGCUCCACACUAGCAAUCAUCGCACUGCCACUGUCCACAGUAAGGUAACUAGAUAUAUUCAGAGUUUUCAAGCACAUCUAGGUAUGAAAUAACGCAUGACAAAACAAACAUACCUACAACAAACAAACCACGCAAUCGCUUGGAAUGAACAUAAUUCUAAUUGCAAGUGACAACGAUCACACCCCUCUAACAAUCAACACAUGACAAAACAGCAAUAGCAAAAUAUUCAUCUACAUGUGAACCCAUGCAUAGCUAUAGGCUAGUAACACCUGAAAUAAAGGGUUAAGCUCAAGAACACACGUAUCAACAAGAUACAUGUUUCCAUGAUCGCAUCACCAUCAGAUCAACAAAGCAUAAAAUACGAUAGCUGCAAUGAGAUAGAUUAACGUCAUUCAGAAUGACCAAAAUUUAAGCUCGCAUAGCAUUUCAGCAGCAGGCGAUCAAAUAUCUAGGAUACAUAAUACUCCAAGGUUUCAGUUUUCAAAUACAAACAGGGACACAUAUAAUGAGUUCUAUCCUCGAUAGGUAAAAGAGCAGAGCAAACGCAAGCCACCUCUAAGCCUUCUGGUUGUAGACGUAGGUGAGGCCGCACUUGCCGCAGUAGUGGCGGUCGAAGUGGUUGGCCAUGAAGGUCCCGGCGCCGCACUCGGCGUUGGGGCACUCCUUCCUGAGCCUGGUGACCUUGCCGGUGGCGUCGUCGACCUUGUAGAACUGGAGGACGGCGAGCUUCACCUUCUUGUGCUUGUGCUUUUGCUUCUUGGGCUUGGUGUAGGUCUUCUUCUUGCGCUUCUUGGCGCCACCGCGGAGGCGGAGCACCAGGUGCAGGGUGGACUCCUUCUGGAUGUUGUAGUCGGCGAGGGUGCGGCCGUCCUCGAGCUGCUUGCCGGCGAAGAUGAGGCGCUGCUGGUCCGGCGGGAUGCCCUCCUUGUCCUGGAUCUUGGCCUUGACGUUGUCGAUGGUGUCCGACGACUCCACCUCCAGCGUGAUGGUCUUGCCCGUCAGGGUCUUCACGAAGAUCUGCAUCUUCGCGGCGGUGGGGUGGUCGCCUCCGCGCGCUGCGGCGGCGACGGCAGUGCGGCGGCGGGGUUGGGUUUGGGCUGGGCGUCGGGGUGGAAUGGAGGCUAGGGUAUGGAAGGGUCUGGCGUUAUAUAAGUAUAAGGAGGCGGGAGAAUAUGAGCUGUUGGAUCUAGGGGGUCCAUAUCGGACGGCUGGCUAUCGUGGACGCAAUUUUUGGGCUGGGCUGAUAGGAUCGAUUUUGCUUGUGGCCCAUGGUUCGUCUAAAUUGCCAAAAAAAAGGUGUAAAUUCCAUUUAGUAGUGUACAUCUCUAUUUCUAAUGGACGACUUGGUUGAAUAGUCCCCCACUUUCAACCGGUUUAUUUUCAACCAGUUUAUUUUCAACUGGUUUUUCCCGUCCUACCUCCACCCACUGGUUUUAAUUUCCUGCAACCUUUUCGUUCACCCCUCCUUACGUAUGCUAACCCCGAUUUUCCAUUUGAUAUGAUUUGGUAAGCUAAUCAAUUAUGAUCAAAACCAGCGAAUAGAAACGGAUUCCUUUCCUCCCAAGGUGAACAUUUGAUCUCGCGAUCCUCUCUUCCCUUUAAUCUCGCGCUCCUCUCACCUGAUCUUUAAUUUCGCAAUCCUCUCACCCAUCCAGAUUUCCUAUACAUGAUCGCAAUCCACUCGCCCCUUUAAUCUCGCGAAAAUUUGAAUGCGCCUGCACUUAACACACUCGAUGGCUCAGCCUCACACGCCCCUCCAACUCGCCAAGCGCGGCGAGCGGGGAUCAUGGCCCCGCAGCCGCCGACGUCGCUAUCCGUCAUAUCCCCCUGAACGCUGACCAGCAGAUCUCAACCCCUAUUUGGCUGCCUCUGGUUGCAGGACUACCGCGCAAAUAAGGCCAUGGACGCUGCUGGCGAGUGCGCUCGGUGCAUCAUGAGGAUCACGAGAGCUGCGUCAACGUCGUCAAGGAGCACACGGCACUAAUGUUGCAUGCCAUGCGACGAAGAGACUACACGAGAAGAACAAGGCCCCGAUGGAGAGUGUGCAAUGGCUGCGAGGCCAUGCUGGAUCGCGGCUGGCUUACGCAGCAGGACCGGUACGGCUGAUUUGAAAGAUGGUCGUCUAGCCAAAGAUGAGCGACUGCACGCUCAAUGGCAUCAUGUCGAGGUGAGCUUCUUCUCUCGUUCCAAUAAGUGCACUUGUUGGUCUUUUUUCUUCUUCUUUCAGAUCUAUGAGCAAUAUAAUAAUUUGCUUUUUUAGAAUUCUUAUCCUUUAAAAGAUGGAAUGCUUUGGGAUUUUUGUCAGAUGAUCUGAGGAUCUGUUUUAGUUUUAAUACGCAUACUAUUUGCAUGAUCAAAUCUCAAAAGAUUGAUAGUAUUGUGAAAUAAUUUUCUGAAGAACACAUAUAUACUAACAUCUGGCUUUGCUUCUGCCAACGACACAGUUGUACUCCCAAAUUUGAACCAAAACCACGACGAGUAAUUUGGAACGGAGGGAGUACUUUACAACACCCAAUCCUGGUCUUUAUGCCAUCGGCUUCAAGUGGUACUGUGCUGGAUGCAAAGGAUGGCUCAUUGUCAGUAACUAUGGCACGAAAUUGAAGGUUUAACCAUCAUACGUAUUGUUAUGGCUGUUGCAUUUCAAUUCUUUUGCAGAUAGAUCAGGUUGCUGAAAAGAUUACCUACUGCAGAUUUGAACAGCCAUGCUCAAGCCUUACAAUAGCGAGCUCUUCCCACUUGCCAACGGGGGUGCAAGGCCUGGGUCUGCAUACUGUGCCUCUCGGUCACGGCUGCCAGCUAGGAGGGCAACCUGCAUUACGCUGGCCAGGUCAGCGCGCUCCAUGGCUGAGAUGGCGUCCUCGCCUCCUGCCGCUCAGGAGUCUGCCUAGGGUCCUGCCGCAGACCUCGCCGACAUCGUAAGUAUCGUCUCUCCCUUAAUUAGUUAUUGAAUUGAAUAGAUGAUUGGUUGAGUAUGAUCGAUCACCGUGUAUGAUGUUAAUUGGUUUUGAUCUUUGUUGCAGGGGUUCAAGAACAUGAAGAAACUCAAAGUGGGCUAGGUCGACCUCAUCAUGGCUCGACCACCAAGACCGGGCAUGGCAGCUGGGAGAACGAUGCUGGCCAAGCAGACUGCAAGUCGGCAACAUGAUAUUGAAUUUAUUCCUCUUGAUAUACUAAAGCCUGGUAUGUGUUGUUUCAGAUUUUUUACAAGUGCGUCCUGAUUUUACCCUUCCCAAUCUACAGAAAUCUUCACAGGUGUUUCUGAAUGAAGAAGACAUCGCGGCCAGUAAUGUUAAGGUUGACUUCAUGCGUGGGAAAUGAAAAGCCGCUUGAAAGCCAUGGUGCCAUUAGAGUGUAUGCCAGAAAGCGAGAUCUUUGAAUGAAGAAAUUAAACAUGGUGGUGUGCUCAAAGCCUCAAAGACUCCAAGUAUCCGCAGUUCAGAAUAUACGGCGAGGAGGUGCCGGUGCACGAUACACCCAGGAAGAAGCGCAUCAAAUUCUACAUCAGGUUAGAGUCAACCACAGUAGAUUACCUUGUCCGUAUAUUCUUUUGUAGUUUGGGUAAAUAUGGUGUGUGAAGCAACCAAAUAUCCUGUCCAUAUUUGGUGACCAUUUGACACACAUAGAAAAUUUUCUCUAGGAAUAUAAUUAGGCCAUUAUGGUUAGGAUCUGAUUGGGUUCAUUCCUUGUAAUCUCCUGUAAUUGCCUAUAAAAGAGAUAACACGGAAGCCACCUCAAGCGUGCCAACUUUCCCCAACUUACAUGGUAGGAAUGUAAUUAGGCCAUUAUGGUUAGGAUCUGAUUGGGUUCCUUCCUUGCAUUCUCAUGCGUGUGUAUAUUACUCCCUCCUUUCACUAUUGUAAGACCUUUUACACAUUUAAGACAACACCCAAAGCAGUUCAAUUUCAGCUGUCUAAAACAUCUUAUAGAAGUGAACGGAUGGAGUAUAUUGUAUCUCCAAUCUUAAAUCCCUACUCCGUACGUCGUUUCGUUUCGUACCAACACCCCACCCACCGACCCNNNNNNNNNNNNNNNNNNNNNNNNNNNNNNNNNNNNNNNNNNNNNNNNNNNNNNNNNNNNNNNNNNNNNNNNNNNNNNNNNNNNNNNNNNNNNNNNNNNNNNNNNNNNNNNNNNNNNNNNNNNNNNNNNNNNNNNNNNNNNNNNNNNNNNNNNNNNNNNNNNNNNNNNNNNNNNNNNNNNNNNNNNNNNNNNNNNNNNNNNNNNNNNNNNNNNNNNNNNNNNNNNNNNNNNNNNNNUCCUAGCUGUGGCCCCGGCUCGCCUGCAUGGCGAGUGGCAGCGGAGAGAAGGGGGGCAAGAACGAUGGGACGGAGUUCUUCAGGGAGGACGACAUGGGCGGGUACCUAAACUACAUAUCCCACGAGUAUGACUCCGUCUGGGACACGUCACUCGGGGCAUUCGGGUAAUUCGAUUAUAUCAGUUCGGAUGAUUCGGUUUACGGGUAUUUCGGUAAGUUUAAAAUGAGAACCAGAUUUCUUUCUGCCAAAAAAAUACCCUAACCCAAAUUACCCGAAAAUUUUGGUUCGGGUAACCAAAAACCAAAAUACUCCAUGCACGUGACAAGCCGAUCGAUGGAUGGAGGAGGGCGGGCUACGGUUCCUGGUGGCGCUCGCGUCUCCUCCCGAUGCGGUUGACGGUGAUAGCGUUGGGGCACAUCUCGUCGGCCGGUUGACGGGAAGAACGGUAACGCAUGGCAGUAGAGGACGGCGGAUCAGGUAAGUGGAGGUGGUUCUCGGCUGGAUUUGGCUCAAAAUGGAGGCGGCGACAUUGGGACUCAUCGACGUGUUGCGGGGAAGACUGAUGGCGCAUGGCAGCGGAGGACGGCGGAUCCAGUCGGUGGAGGUGGUUCCAGGCCGGAUCUGGCGCAGAACAGCGAUGGUGCGAGUUUAUAUAUAUUAUGAUCGCUUCUCAAAUAAAUUACGUUUAGAAUAUAAAUAGUUAAAUGCAUAUUGAUUCAAUAUGUAAAAUUUGGUAUAAAAAAACAAAAAUAUAGGUUAUAAGACCAUAAAAAUCACAUUUUAUGUAUGUUUUACACUAUGUUUUUACAUUCGUAAUUUUACGUAAUAUAAAAUAUUUUUUACGGUGAGUACAUACUUUCUUACGUUCUCUUUUUAUGUAUGAAAUAAGACAAAAUUUACGGAACGUAAAAAUAUGGUGUAUUGAUGUCAAAAUAGAGAGGGGGUGAAGAAUAACUAUUCCUCACCCAAGGUGACGAAUAGCGCGACCCUAUAUAUAUAUAUAUAUAUAUAUAUAUAUAUAUAUAUAGAGAGAGAGAGAGAGAACAAGAAAGAAAGAGAGAGAGAGAGAGCACGCCGGGAAGAAUACGAAGGGAGGAAGGAAAAGAGGUGGGCCAGGACCUGGUGGAGUGCUAUGCAAUGUGGAUGCAGGUUGUGCGAUGUGAACGCGGGCUGGAUUUCACAUAGUUCGAUUAUUUUGGUUAUUACGUGUUUUAAAGAGUGUAACCCGAAUCCUAACCCGAAGAACGAAUAGGCAGGAAUUGAAACCCGAACCCUAGCCCGAAGACCGAAUUACCUGACAAUUUGGUGUGAGGGACACCAAGCCAGCUUGGUAUACUUCUUGGCUCUUUCCUCCUUACUCUUCAUUUAGAAACUGAAAUUUAAGAACGCCGUGACGCGAAAAUUUGAUGUUGCUACCUGUAUUCAGGUUGAUCUGCUAUGGCUGUUGUUCCUUGUCGCGGAGUGCUAACUGCUCGAUCUCGAUAGCACACAUUAUUUUGACAUUUGUAUUAACCGACCCUUACGUGGGCAUGUGACAUUGUUAUCCAUUGGCUAUCCUAUAGUCUUUCCACACUCGGUUAAUACCCCAGUCAUUGCCGCCUCAUAACCAGACAACAAAUGCAUUUGUCGUCUUCUAUGAGGUUAUCAGGUGACUGAUAUAUUGUUAUCCUUUUUUUAGGCACAUGUAAGUUAUCUAUAAUCUAAGGAAUGCCCUACUGGAGAUUUUUUUUAAAGUUGGACAAGCCACACUCAAUAAUGUCAUCAAUGGUGGAUGUGGGGAAAGAAAACACGGAGAAGAAAGGAUUGUGGGAGAGGAAGGGGAAGAUAAAAAUGGCGAGGAGAUGCAUUUAUCUAACACAUCACGAGCAUGAAAUAUCAUCAUACGUAAAUAGUCUAUGACUUUUGCAUAUACAUUUUUAGCAUAUUUUCUCGUUGUACAUAUAUUUUGUUAGCCCGUGGCAACGCAUGGGCAUUUAACUAGUUAUUUUAGGAAUCCAAUAACUCCUGAACGUUUGGAUUUUGAGCAUUUUGCCCCGAACGUUUUUACAUGGCAACUUUAGUUGAUAGGGGAUGGCAACUUCGUCCUUUUUCGUUUUUUUGUCAGAAAAUUGCCAUGUUUCUCUAAUCUCACGCAAACUAAACUUGCCAUCUAAACCCGUUCGGGUUGCCAUGCUUAACUCCCGAACGUUCGGGAGUUACCAUUACUGUAUUUUUAUGUUAGGAAUAAAUGUGUAAAUUUGUAUCUUGUCCAAAAAAAAUUGGCAUCACAAUUAAAAAUACGAAUAAGCAAGAUGAUAGAGAUUUUUUUUUUCAAAAAAAAUCUGAUCUAUUAUAAAGAUUCAUCGAAAGUACAAAGCACCUCAAACAUAAUUAAGAAAUUCAUCGAGGUCCAUGGACCACCGAACGACCAUUACCGUCGAUGGGCCGUUGUCGCCGCUCCCAUACCGGAGCCGACCUGACCUUGUUGAUGACAGCGGGGAAGUCUUCGUGCACGUGCCCUUAUGGACCAGCACCCUGGAGCCGCAGUUAUAGUCAUUGAAUCCUUAAAUCUAUCUGAAGAACCUGAUACCAAAUAACGCCGCUGCAUACAAACGGCGAGAAACCCUAACCUUACUGAGGGUCUCUUGGACUAAGGGGUCCUCGGGUUGCCGGCCUAUCUCUCAUGGGCCGGACUGGUAGGCCGCUCUUGAUUCAUUAAAGGAAGGCCGGACUACAGGCGACCUCGUUCUCUGGAAGGAAAUAUCUGAAGACUUGGCGUAUCCUCCAAGUCUGGUUAGCGAAAUUGGCAUGUUUAUCCCUUGAUGGUGACCAACCAUAUGUAACCAUAGGUACCUGUAUAAACCAGAUGGUUUAGCACGUAGAGGAACAUAACCAUUAUCACCAUACCCACCUAGGGUUUAGUUCAUUCGAUCUUGUGGUAGAUCAACUCUGUAAAUGUCAUACAAACACAUCAAUACAACCAAGCAAUACGUAGGGUUUUACCUCUUAGAGAGGGCCUGAACCUGGGUAAACAAUGUCUCUACGUUCAUUGUUACCCAUCGAUCCAAGAUCCACAGCUCGGGACCCCCUACCCGAGAUCUGUUGCUUUUGACACCGACACUCACCGCCCCAAGGAGUUGAUAGGAAUCUACGCCGGAGCUCCGUCUAAUAUGUCCCAACGAACGAACUUGAGGAGGAUCAGAGUCCGGAAGACUGAUUCGAAGAAGAAGUGCCACCAUCCGUCCAAACGCCGCCCCUACGAGGACUAAAACCAUACAUCUACUAGCGGGAGUCAAGACACCAGAAUUCUCCUCCCCGCCUGUCGGUGUCAAAACCGGCAUAUCUCGGGUAGGGGGUCCCGAACUGUGCGCCUAAGAGCAUCUCCAGCCGCGCCCCCAACACGCCCCCAGGCGAUAUUUUCGCGCCGGCGCCGAAAAAACGGCCCAGUCGCGUCCCCAAGAGCCUGUUUUUCACCGGCUUGGGCUGAAAUUAGCGUCGGCGGACCCAGGCCGAACCCAACGCAUUGGAGGGCGCCGGGGCGAGCGGUUUUGGCGCGAAAGAGCCGCGAGCCCGCCGAGUCAGCGGCGCGUGCCUCGUCGUCGUCGGAACACCUCAGUUUCCCGCAUGGAAUCAAUGGCAAGGCUGCCGCCGGUCAGCCUUGCCAUUGAUUCCUCAUCAUGGGCGGUGCGUCACGGGCAGCGCGGCGACGCCUCCCCUCCUGCCAUGCGUACACACGGCGUGAGGCUAUAUAAACCGGUGGCUCCCUCGCCUCUGGCCACACCAGCCCACAGCCGCCCGCUGACCGUCGCUGAGCUUUGCCUUUCUCCCCGUGCGCAGCCGCCCGCCGACGCUUCUUCCCUCCCCUCUCCCUUUCUCCCAAGCCUGAUGGUCACGCGAUUCCCUGGCGACGUAGUGGCGUCCAACGGCUUCGGUCGCCGCUCGCUCCACGAGUGGGAGGCAUGGCUGCUCUUCAAGGCGAACAUCCCGGCGCCACCAGACAUGCGCGCCGGGCCGAUGGGGUGGAGGCUCAGCAACGGAGGCGUCCCCAUUCCCCCGGUGCCCGACGUCGAGGCGUGCCCCGCCUUCUUCAUCGCCGAGGUCGACCGCGUGCGAGCCUCCCUAACAGAGGAGUAGCGCGCCCUCCCCCAGUAUGUCACCGACAACCACACGUCAUGGGCGGCGUACUUCCAGCACCUCCAGGAGCAGAGGCUGGCGUCCACCAACGGGGCACCGGUGGUGGGCGGCGUCAAGAAUAGCGAGGGGCGCUGCGUAUGGUGCGACGCCCCCAGUCGCAUGCUCCAGGACAUGCUGGAGUACCUAGAGGGCAGUAAUGACCCGCCGCUGGCAUACCCUACCGCGGCGGCCGCCCCGGUGUUGGGGAACGCGGUAAUUUCAAAAAAAAUCCUACGAUCAUGCAAGGUCUAUCUAGGUGAUGCAUAGCAACGAGAGGGAGAGUGUGUCCACGUAUCCUCGUAGACCGAAAGCGGAAGCGUUUAGUUAAUGCGGUUGAUGUAGUCGAAUGUCUUUGCGAUCCAACUGAUCCAAGUACCGAACAUACGGCACCUCCGCGUUCAGCACACGUCCAGCUCGAGGACGUCCCUCGUACUCUUGAUCCAGUUGAGGCCGAGGGAGAGUUUCGUCGGCACGACAGUGUGCUGACGGUGAUGAUGAAGCUACCGGCGCAGGGCUUCGCCUAAGCACUACGACAAAAUGACCGGGGCGUGCCGACCGCGAUCACAUCGACUUUGGAACCAUUUCCCACAUGCAUCGUCACCUCGUCCUUAGCCAAUCUUCGCUUAAUCCGUAGCCCCUAUUUCGAGUUGUAAAUAUGAGCAACAGAACCAGUAUCAAAUACCCAUGCGCUACUGCGAGUGUUAGUUAAGUACACAUCCAUAACAUGUAUAUCAAAUAUACCUUUCACUUUGCCAUCUUUCUUAUCCGCCAAAUACCUGGGGUAGUUCCGCUUCCAGUGACCAGUCCCUUUGCAGUAGAAGCACUCAGUUUUAGGCUUAGGUCCAGACUUGGGUUUCUUCUCUUGAGCAUCAACCUUUUUGCCGUUCUUCUUGAAGUUCCUUUCUUCCCUUUGCCCUUUUUCUUGAAACUAGUGGUCUUAUUGACCAUCAACACUUGAUGCUCCUUUUUGAUUUCUACCUCGGCGGCCUUUAGCAUCGCGAAGAGCUCGGGAAUAGUCUUGUCCAUCCCUUGCAUAUUAUAGUUCAUCACGAAGCCUUUAUAGCUUGGUGGCAGUGAUUGAAGAACCGUGUCAAUGACACAAUCAACUAGAAGAUCGACUCCCAACUGAGUCAAGUGAUUAUGAUACCCCAGACAUUUUGAGUAUGUGUUCACUGACAGAACUAUUCUCCUCCAUUUUGCAGUUGUAGAACUUGUUGGAGACUUCAUAUCUCUCAACUCGCGCAUUUGCUUGAAAUAUUAACUUCAACUCUUGGAACAUCUCGUAUGCUCCAUGAUGUUCAAAACGUCUUUGAAGUCCCGAUUCUAAGCCGUAAAGCAUGGCAUACUAAACUAUCGAGUAGUCAUUAGCUUUGCUUUGCCAGACGUUCUUAACGUCAUUAGUAGCAUCUGCAGCAGGCCUGGCACCCAAUGGUGCUUCCAUGACGUAAUUCUUCUGUGCAGCAAUGAGGAUAAUCCUCAAGUUACAGACCCAGUCCGUGUAGUUGCUGCCAUCAUCUUUCAACUUAGCUUUCUCUAGGAACGCAUUGAAAUUCAAAGGAACGGUAGCACGGGCCAUUGAUCUACAACAACAUAGACAUGCAAAAUACUAUCAGGUACUAAGUUCAUGAUAAAUUAAAGUUCAAUUAAUCAUAUUACUUAAGAACUCCCACUUAGAUAGACAUCCCUCUAAUCAUCUAAGUGAUCACGUGAUCCAAAUCAACUAAACCAUGUCCGGUCAUCACGUGAGAUGGAGUAGUUUUCAAUGGUGAACAUCACUAUGUUGAUCAUAUCUACUAUAUGAUUCACGCUCGACCUUUCGGUCUCAGUGUUCCGAGGACAUAUCUGCAUAUGCUAGGCUCGUCAAGUUUAACCCGAGUAUUCUGCGUGUGCAAAACUGGCUUGCACCCGUUGUAUGUGAACGUAGAGCUUAUCACACCCGAUCAUCACGUGGUGUCUCGGCACGACAAACUGUAGCAACGGUGCAUACUCAGGGAGAACACUUGUACCUUGAAAUUUAGUAAGGGAUCAUCUUAUAAUGCUACCGAUGUUCUAAGCAAAAUAAGAUGCAUAAAAGGAUAAACAUCACAUUCAAUCAAAAUAUGUGACAUGAUAUGGCCAUCAUCAUCUUGUGCUCAUGAUCUCCAUCACCGAAGCAUCAUCAUGAUCUCCAACGUCACCGGCGCGACACCUUGAGCUCCAUCAUAGCAUUGUUGUUGUCUCGCCAACUAUUGUUACUAUGACUAUCGCUACCGCUUAGUGAUAAAGUAAAACAAUUACAUGGCGAUUGCAUUGCAUACAAUAAAGCAACAACCAUAUGGCUCCUGCCAGUUGCCGAUAACUUUGCUACAAAACAUGAUCAUCUCAUACAACAAUUUAUAUCACAUCAUGCUUGACCAUAUCACAUCACAACAACCCCUGCAAAAACAAGUCGGACGUCCUCUACUUUGUUGUUGCAAGUUUUACAUGGCUGUUACGGGCUUCUAGCAAGAACUGUUCUUACCUACGCAUCAAAACCACAACGAUUUUUCAUCAAGUGUGUUGUUUUAACCUUCAACAAGGACCGGGUGUAGUCACACUCGAUUCAACUAAAGUUGGAGAAACAGACACUCACCAGCCACCUAUGUGCAAAGCACGUCAGUAGAACUAGUCUCGCGUAAGCGUACGCGUAAUGUCAGUCUGAGCCGCUUCAUCCAACAAUACCGCUGAAUCAAAGUAUGACAUGCUGGUAAGCAGUAUGACUAUUAUUGCCCACAACACUUUGUGUUCUACUCGUGCAUAUAACACCUACGCAUAGACCUGGCUCGGAUGCCACUGUUGGGGAACGCGGUAAUCUAAAAAAAAUCCUACGAUCACGCAAGAUCUAUCUAGGUGAUGCAUAGCAAGAGAGGGGAGAGUGUGUCCACGUACCCUCGUAGACCUAAAGCGGAAGCGUUUAGUUAACGCGGUUGAUGUAGUCGAACGUCUUCACGAUCCAACCGAUCCAAGUAUCGAACGUACGGCACCUCCGCGUUCAGCACACGUUCAACUCGGAGACGUCCCUCGUACUCUUGAUCCAGUUGAGGCCGAGGGAGAGUUUCGUCAGCACGAUGUUGUGGUGACGAUGAUGAUGAAGCUACCAGCGCAGGGCUUCUCCUAAGCACUACAACAAUAUGAUCGAGGUGUGUAACUGUGGAGGGGGGCACCCCGCACACCGCUAAAACAAUUGUCAACUUGUGUCUUUGGGGUACUCCCCUUCCCCGUAUAUAAAGGAGGGGAGGGGGAGGCCGGCGGCCAACAAGGGGCGCGCCAGGGGGAGGACUCCUACUCCUAGUAGGAGUAGGUCUCCCACCUUUCCUAGUCCAAGAAGGAGAAGAGGGGGAAGGAGGAGGUGGAGAGAAGGAAGGAGAGGGGGGCGCCGCCCCCUUUCCCUUGUACAAUUUGCACUGGAGCAAAGGGGGGGGGUGUGCCACCUCCUGGCUGCCCUCUCUCUUCUCCACGAAGGCCCAUGAGGCCCAAUAGCUUCCCCAGGGGGGGUCCAAUAACCCCUGGUACUCCGGUUAUAUCCGAAACUUCUCCGGAACACUUCUGGUGUCCGAAUAUAGUUGUCCAAUAUAUCAAUCUUUAUGUCUCGGCCAUUUCAAGACUCCUCGUCAUGUCCGUGAUCACAUCCGGGACUCCGAACAAUCUUCGGCACAACAUAUCUCAUAAACUCAUAAUACCAAUCGUCAUCGAACGUUAAGCGUGCGGACCCUACGGGUUCGAGGACUAUGUAGACAUGACCGAGACAUGUCUCUGGUCAAUAACCAAUAGCGGAACCUAGAUGCUCAUAUUGGUUCCUACAUAUUCUACGAAGAUCUUUAUCGGUCAAACCGCAUAACAACAUACAUUGUUCCCUUUGUCAUCGUUAUGUUACUUGCCCGAGAUUCGAUCGUCAGUAUCUCAAUAACUAGUUCAAUCUCGUUACUGGCAAGUCUCUUUACUCGUUCUGUAAUACUUCAUCCCGCAACUAACUCAUUAAUCACAAUGCUUGCAAGGCUUAUAGUGAUGAGUAUUACCGAGAGGGCCCAGAGAUACCUCUCCGAAACACGGAGUGAGAAAUCCUAAUCUCGAUCUAUGUCAACCCAACAAACACCUUUGGAGACACUUGUAGAGCACCUUUAUAACCACCCUUUUACGUUGUGACAUUUGGUAGCACACAAAGUGUUCCUCCGGUAUUCGGGAGUUGCAUAAUCUCAUAGUCUGAGGAACUUGUAUAAGUCAUGAAGAAAUCAGUAUUAAUGAAACUAACACGAUCAUUAUGCUAAGCUAACGGAUGGGUCAGGUCCAUCACAUCAUUCUCCUAAUGAUGUGAUCACGUUCAUCAAAUGACAACACAUGUCUAUGGUUAGGAAACAUAACCAUCUUUGAUUAACGAGCUAGUCAAGUAGAGGCAUACUAGGGACUAUAUGUUUUGUCUAUGUAUUCACACAUGUACUAAGUUUCCGGUUAAUACAAUUCUAGCAUGAAUAAUGAACAUUUAUCAUGAAUUAAGGAAAUAAAUAAUAACUUUAUUAUUGCCUCUAGGGCAUAUUUCCUUCAUAAACAUUUAUCAUGAAUUAAGGAAAUAAAUAAUAACUUUAUUAUUGCCUCUAGGGCAUAUUUCCUUUAGCCGGCCCACCGCCGGAGCACCAGGCAAUGGAUGCCCAGGAGAUUCGGCUCCUCCUCGACUUCCUCCUCUCACUCCUCCUCUCGCUCCUCUUCCCAUUCCUCCGGCUCGCCGGCGGUGUUCGGCGUCCACUACAAAAAAAAUACACUUCCAUGAUGAUACGUGUUUGUCAUAGUAGGUCGCGUUUUUUGUCUUGCAUGUACAUCCAUGACAAUUUUAUGACAGAAUCAAGAUAGUCAUACAUGUGCUGUCGUAGAAGUGUUCCAUGACAUUACCAAAAUUAUCAUCACGGCAGUGUCCACUUCCAUGACGAUAAAUAGCGCGUCACAGAAGUGCUUUCGUCAAGGGUGACCGACACAUGGCAUCCACCGUAACGGAACGACGUUAAGCUAUCGGGUCCGGUUUUGGAUCCGAUAACCUGUUAACAACCCGGACCAAUGGGGAUUUUCCACGUGUAAAAUCAUCAUUGGCCGCAGGAAACACGUGUUGCCUCACCGUUGGGACAUAUGUCAUCCACUCAUUGGACAGGAGGCGCCUAUGAUAGGUCGACACAUGGUACGGCCCAACAGUGGUCCAUUUCGGUGAAAAAGGCUGGCCCAGUAAAAAUUAGCAGGCCGGCCCAUAUAAGGCCUACUUGUGUCAGGUCCAUUUAAGCCCACGGCCCAUACGAGAUGUGCCAAUUCGGCCCGUCAAUGGCCCGUUAAAGAUUUGACACCAUUGCAGCCUAUCGUCAGUUCGAGCCCGUUAACAGCCCGCUAUAUAUUUGGGCUCAAUAUCGACCCGAUGAGAUUUCGGCCUGUUAACGGCCCAUUCAAUGGAUAGGCUAAUUUUUAGGAUGUACAUCUUUCGGCCAUUUAGCGACCCAUUUAAAUGUUGGGCUAAUUUCCGGCCCGGUGUGUCUUUCAGCCUGUUGACGGCCUAUAAAUAUGAUGGGCCAUUUGUAGUCGGACCUAAGUUUCGGCCUUUUAGUGGCCCAUUUAAGUGUUGGGCCAAUUUCCGGCCCGGUGUCACUUUCAGCCUGUUGACGGCCCAUAAAUUAGUUGGGCCAUUUGUAGUCGGACCUGAGUUUCGGCCUUUUAGCAACCCAUUUAAGUGUUGGGCCAAUUCCCGGCCCUGUGUGCCUUUCGGCCUAUUAAUAGACCAUAAAUGAGUUGGGCCAUUUGUAGUCGGACCUUAGUUUUGGCCUUCUAACGGCCCAUGCCCUUCAUGGUCUAAUACCAGCCCGGUUUCUCUUUCGGUUUGCUAAAGGCCCACAACACAGUUGGGCCAUUUACAAUACGACCUGACUUUCGGCCUCUUAGCGGCCCAUGCUCUUCAUGGUCCAGUACAAGCCCGCUGUCUCUUUCGGCCUGCUAAAGGCCUACAGUAUAGUUGGGCCAUAUGUAACCCAAACUUAGUAACGGCCUGUUAACGACCCAUGAAAUAAAUUGGGUCCACCUAUUGCCCGCUUCGAUGUUGGCCUGUUAACGACCUGGGAGGUGAGAGGCAGGCCAACCAUUAACUUUCGGCCUAGUAACGACCCAUUAACUUAAUGGCCCAUUAAAGUUCGUACAUGUCUUUAGGCCAAAUUAGAUAAUUUGAGCCCAUUACGACGAGCAAUUAUGCACAGGACCAAAACCGAUCAAGCAAAGGUACGUCAUACAGGGAAUAACGUUGCACAUCCGGCAUAUAUUACAUGAAAUUACAUCCACUGGGCAAUCAAAGAUUGAUGCCAGUGCAAAUAAAUGAGCAGAACCUAACCAUCUACAACAUCACAAUCUGCAACCUCAGCACAGAUGACGCCCAUAAGCAUGUGGGCAAGUUCUUGCUGCUUUGCUACAAUGUCUCUGAAAACAUUGAUCAGUUGUUGUGUCGCACGACUCUGCACCUCUGAUUCAUCCACCAUUUUCAUCAUUGCUUCAGCCAUUAAUUGGUUCACAAACAUACAUUUAUUCCAUUGCAUUCGAGACAGAGGAUACUGAACAGAUUCAGAUGGCGAUUUUGGCAGGCUUGUAUUAUUGAUAGUGGAGAGUGUCUCGAAUACUACAUCAUAACAUAAAUUAGGACGGGAAUCAAACAUAUUAAUCAUGAGUUAUUGCCAUAUUACCUGGCCUAGAUUUACUGGAAAGAAACAAUGGGGUUGCCUUGCUAUUUUUAGAGUUUGUCUUCUUAUCUUCAGCAGCCUGCACAAAAUUAACACACUAGCAUUGCUAUCAUUGGCCAAGUCAGAUAAUAGGAAAGCAAUAUUGACACAACGAACGUUUGGGCAACUAGCCUACACCAAAUCAACACAAUAUGGCACAUCUAUCAUCAGCCAGGUAAGGUAAUACGAAACCAACAUUGACACAAUGAAUGAAUGGGCAACCAGAGAAGCACUACAAUUCAGUAAUGUGCGUGAUAUGAGAUAGUACACUCAUGCAGCUCAGUAUGCAAAACUACCAGGCAGUUUUCCUUACAAAAAUCAACAUUGGCGCCUUUAACAUUUUGCUACAACUAAUUUUAGAUCAGAUAAAGGUUAGAUUCAUGCAGAUUAACAAAAUACAUGCUGAUGUAAAAAUAUAGUGAUAUACAACAGGUACUUACAUCAGCAUUGGAGCACAGAGAAUUCCCGCAAGAUAUUUUCCUCGAAUACGAUCCCAAUGGAGGAAGUCUUCUAUCGUUUAACCUUAUUUUCUAAAAGAGAGAUGGGUAAGAAACAUGUAGAAAAUAUGAUCAGAAUGCUAUAAAAUUUCAUGAUGCGAGGAUACACACACACUUCUUAGAAUGGAGAUGACAUUCUUUUGCUGGACUGGAGCGGACUAGUUUUUUGGCCACUAGAAUCUGCUUAUUAUCAGGGGGAGUUGGGUUUCUCUGUGCUGGAGCAGUAUCUAUGAAAAAUGGAGUUAGUUUAUUAUCUCCUGGCGUUUGAAUCUUUUGCAAAGACCUGGUUUGUAACCCUUCAGAUUCUGACAUAGCCGUCUUCCCCUUGCAUGCCUUAUAUAGAAGAAUGGUGAUUCAGUUAUAAAACAUGCUACAGUAGAGAUGGAAUAGGUACCGAAGAAUAGAAAGGCAUUACAUAUUGACAUGUAUUCCCUCCAUCCAAAAAUAAAUGGAUGGGUCUAGGCGUAUUUCAGUUCUAGAUACAUCCAGUUUUAUCCAUUUCUACGAUAUGUAAUCCGGACGGAGGGAGUAUGAUGUAAGAGCUAGGGAUACGAUAGGACAACACAAUAAAAAAACACUUAAACCCCACUGCAGAACCAAAGUAUUCAAACCCGCUGAUAUGAGAUAGUACACUCAUGCAGCUCAGGUUGCAAAACUACCAGGCAGUUUUCCUUACAAAAAUCAACAUUGUGGACUUUAAUCAUACAUUUUGCUACAACUAAAUUUAGAUCAGAUAAAGGUUGGAUUCACGCCGAUUAACAAAAUACAUGCUGAUGUAAAAAUAGUGAUAUACAACAAGUACUUACCUCUACAUUGGAGCACAGAGAAUUCCUGCAAGAAUCUUUCCUCAUAAACGAUACCAUUGCAGAAAUUCUUCUAUCUGUUAAGAUUAUUUUCUAAAAGAGAGAUGGGUAAGAAACAUGUAGAAAAUAUGAUCAGCAUGCUAUAAAAUUUCAUGAUGCAAGGAUACGCACACGCUUCUUAGAAUGGAGUUGAUAUAUUUUUGCUGGACUGGAGCGGACUAGUUAUUUGGCCACUGGAAUCUGCUUAUUAUCAGUAGGAGUUGGGUUUCUCUGUGCUGGAGUAGUAUCUAUAAAAACUAGAGUUGGUUUAUUAUCUCCUGGCAUUUGGAUCUUUUGCAAAGGCCUUAUUUGUAACCCUUCAGAUUCUAACAUAGUCAUCUUCCCCUUGCAUGCCUUGUAUAGAAGAAUGGUGCUUUAAUUAUAAAACAUGCUACAACAGAGAGAUGGAAUUGGUACUGAAGAAUAGAAAGGCAUGACAUAUUGACAUGUAUUCCCUCCAUCCGGAAAAAAUGGAUGGGUCUAGGCGUAUUUCAGUUCUAGAUACAUCCUUUUUUAUCCAUUUCGGCAACAUGUAAUCCAGACGGAGGGAGUAUGGUGUAAGAGCUAGGGAUACGAUAGGACAACACAAAAACACUAGUUGAAUGUAAAACUGUAUGCUAGCGGAAUACAUACAGAAAUAACUAAGGCAACAUACACGUGUAUGAUUGGGAAACUAAGAUGACAUUGCAACAGAGCACUAGAACAUCACUUCAAUGUAAAAAAACAUGGUAUGGUAGACAGAUUAAGUAUAUACUGAUGAAUAACAAUGCAUAAGAUAUUUAGAAGCAUGAUGUCCAAAUUAAGCAGAUGGCAUUGCGAUAGAGUAGAAUGACAGUACUUGAAUUUGAAAACAUGUUAUCAUGAAUGGAAUAGGUACUGAAAAACAGGAAUGCAUGACAUAUUUACAUGCAUGAUCAGCAUGUUAAGCACAUGGCAUUGCAACAGAGUAGAUACACUCCAAGACAUUAUAUGCAUGUUGUACCCAUAUCACAGGCCAAGUUAGAGCAAGGACUGUGUGGGGUGAAGAGGACUCAUCAUCUUUCUGCAAGUCUUCUGAAGAACUGCCUUUACAUGUUCCAUCAUAUUGGGUAUCAUUGACAUCAAGUUUAUUGGCCUUUACAUUGCUCCGUGAGGUUCUUGUGGAUAUAUCAGUGUGUGCAAUUAUAUCUGACAUGCAUGGAAGACAACUAGUAGUUAGAUUUAUGUAAUGAGUGCCUAUAGGAGACAACAUAAAUAGUAGGACUGGGGUUAACUAGCAGCAACAUGUCUCAUAAACUAAAGGGAGAACACAGAUGAAAGCUACAGAGUAUGUAUCGUUUGUACUCGAGAUUAACUAGAUGGCACAUAAAAGUAUUAAAGAACAACAUAUGUAAUACUAGAAGUGGUAUAAUACUAUAAUCACCAGCCUGUGGGAUGGCAUUGGCUGAUGGAUGAUAACUAUGGAACAUCGUUACCUAAAGAACAAGUAUCUUAGCUGAACUAUGGAACAACGUUAACUCCUGAACAAGACCCAUAAGAGAUCAGCAUGAAUAUACAAUGAAAUGUGAUGAUCUAUUUUCCAUGCUUAGAUGAAUAACAAAGCCAUAAAUGUUGCACACAAGUAAGAUGAGGGUACAACCUAUCUGGCUGCCAUCCAUAGGAGUGAGCAUCAUGUGCUGACUUGUUGAUGGCCCUGCAGUUGUUGUGGCUGUCCAUGUCGGGCACGUGCAUUCGAUGCAGGGAACUGUUGAGUGGGGACUAUAGCUCCCUUCUGGUGUAUGCUUCCCUUGUUGGAGCAGCUGUGGUGAGUCGGAAGACGACGUGUCUGAAGAUGCAGAUAACACAUAAUGUUAAGAACGACAUAUCUCUUUGAUCUGAAGAAAUACACUAAGAGAUCAACAACAAGGUACGAGAGUGGUCACAUGUCUGUUGACUGAAGACUAAACUGGGGUCACAUGAUUUUAUUUUAUUUUGGUACUGUCCGAUCUACGCCAGAUGGCUUGAUGGCCGUCUUGUGCCUCCCGGUUGACACUGUUCGGAAUCUUCCCCGAAGAGCCAGCGACCAACGGCCGAGCAGCCUGCCUCCACCGUCCAUGGCCCCGACCAAAACCCCGCUCCCCGCCCCACUGCAUUGCCGUGGUUGCGCCGCCCCCGGGCCAAUCCACAAAGACUCCCCAUCAUCCAGAUCCGGCGGCGGCAGUACCUUCAACCCACGCAACUCUAAAAGAUAGACAUCUAAGCGCUGCUUCUGCGGUGAACUUGUGGCCCCACACCCUUAUGUUAGACACCAGCCAACCGGCAGCCUAGGAGCUCCGCCGCCUCGAUGGGUGCUGCUUCCCAUUGGGAAUCGAUUGGCCCAGAAUAAAAAUUCAGACAACUGACGCCUAAAUAAAGUGAUUUGAGAUGAGGGUGCGACCUAUCUAGCGGCAUGGUGAAGUAGGCAGGUCCAGCUGCCGAGUCGGUGAGGCCAGUGCGGUUGCG